UACAGAGGGGGCAAGCGUUGUUCGGAAUUACUGGGCGUAAAGGGCGCGUAGGCGGCCUUCUAAGUCGAACGUGAAAUCCCCGGGCUCAACCCGGGAACUGCGUCCGAUACUGGAAGGCUUGAAUCCGGGAGAGGGAUGCGGAAUUCCUGGUGUAGCGGUGAAAUGCGCAGAUAUCAGGAGGAACACCGGUGGCGAAGGCGGCACUCUGGGCCGGUACUGACGCUGAGGAGCGAAAGCGUGGGGAGCGAACAGG
rnacentral:rRNA from 1 species